rnacentral:tRNA from 1 species
GCGAGAGUGGCGAAAUUGGCAGACGCGCUGGAUUUAGGAUCCAGUGCCGCAAGGCGUGCGGGUUCAACUCCCGCCUCUCGCA